rnacentral:tRNA from 1 species
GGAUUGUGGCUCAAUGGUAGAGCACUUGCCUAGCAUGUGUGAAGCACUGGGUUCAAUUCUCAGCACCA